CCUACGGGAGGCAGCAGUGGGGAAUCUUAGACAAUGGGCGCAAGCCUGAUCUAGCCAUGCCGCGUGAGUGAUGAAGGCCUUAGGGUCGUAAAGCUCUUUCGCCUGUGAAGAUAAUGACUGUAGCAGGUAAAGAAACCCCGGCUAACUCCGUGCCAGCAGCCGCGGUAAUACGGAGGGGGUUAGCGUUGUUCGGAAUUACUGGGCGUAAAGCGCGCGUAGGCGGACAUUUAAGUCAGAGGUGAAAUCCCAGGGCUCAACCCUGGAACUGCCUUUGAUACUGGGUGUCUUGAGUUCGAGAGAGGUGAGUGGAAUUCCGAGUGUAGAGGUGAAAUUCGUAGAUAUUCGGAGGAACACCAGUGGCGAAGGCGGCUCACUGGCUCGAUACUGACGCUGAGGUGCGAAAGUGUGGGGAGCAAACAGGAUUAGAUACCCUUGUAGUC
rnacentral:rRNA from 1 species